rnacentral:lncRNA from 1 species
UGUUAGGAUAAAAAGCGAGAUUCAAUCUUCUAAUGCAAAGCACACACACAACAAUAUAUUUGACGGGGAAAACCCACGUCCCAACUUGUAUUAUUAAUCAAAACCAUUAUCAAUAAUACAAUCAACCAAACUUGGAUACUCAAGCCUACUACUCAAGUAUCCGCCCUCGAGCGAUACCUAAGUCUACAUCUUGAGCACACCUAUCAAACACAAUAUGACUAUGUAUAUAUAGUCAUCUCAAACUAGACAAAU